UACGGGGGGGGGCAAGCGUUGUUCGGAAUUACUGGGCGUAAAGGCUCGUAGGCGGCCAACUAAGUCAGACGUGAAAUCCCUCGGCUUAACCGGGGAACUGCAUCUGAUACUGGAUGGCUUGAGUUCGGGAGAGGGAUGCGGAAUUCCAGGUGUAGCGGUGAAAUGCGUAGAUAUCAGGAGGAACACCUGUGGCGAAAGCGGCUCACUGGACCACAACUGACGCUGAGGCGCGAAAGCUAGGGGAGCAAACAGG
rnacentral:rRNA from 1 species